UGAUCGUGACCCCCGACGUUUGUAAGC
rnacentral:sRNA from 1 species